AUUGUUUGUGUGUGCCUUCCAGACAUGAGUUUUUAGAGGAAAGCAUGGCUGGUGUUGUUGCAGACAGAAAAGUCAAAGGAUCUGGAAAUGAAGAAACAACCAUCUGCAGCAAGCGAUGCAAGAUUGCACUAUUGCACUUCAAAAGAGUGCCAGGCAGAAAAAAUAAC